rnacentral:rRNA from 1 species
AUGAAUCACGAAGAUGGCACUGAUCCUUGGCUUUCUCAAAGGCUGGAAACGCCACCUUGGGAUGCAGCAGAGUACAAUCAACUCAUUUCUUCAGGGCCAUUGCUGCCACCACUAGAGCACUACACGGGCAUCGAUUCUUAUGACCAAACCACAAUCAGGGGGGCAACAUGGCAAGUUUCGUCACAGGGCGCUAACGCUGACAAAUGUACGGGCAACCAACUUCAGCUAGCUAAUGUGGCAAAUCAAGGACCUUCAUGUAGCACGUGGCAUCAGGCAGCAACCAUGUACCUGCCAUCAACGUCAUACACAGGUUGUUACGGUGGAACCACAUCGGCAAACAUCUCAUGGCAAGCUUCACAGUUGCAGGAAAGUGCUAUUGCAGAUAGAGCACAUCAAAUUGGAAUGACAGACCACACAAGAUCGGCACAUGCGGCACAACAAGUAGAUGCCAUGUAUGCUGGAUUGUAUCUGCCAUUGCUAUGUGCUGCAAGUUCUGAUGCUGAAAGAAGCUGGUUGCCAUGUGUGGGCAACAGACCUUCAACUACAAUUAACAGCGGCGCGGGGACAUCUACUGCGGGGAGCUCUGAGCGCAUGGAAGACGCGUUCCACCAGCGAGCCAACACUCAUGCCACAAACAAUGCCGAUUCAGUGUCGGAAAUGGCAAUCGUGCCAGCAAUACCGACAAGCACACAUGUGCACACCAGCACAAGCAACACUCAAGCAGGUGAAACAGCCGCCGAUACUGAAGUGAAUGAUGAAACCGAUGACGAAGCACAAGGGGAUGAAGAUGGUGGGCAAUCAGAAAUCAUGGUACCCCAGCCACCGUAUCUUGGGCAGAGAUUUGAUUCAUUUGCAGAUGCAAAGGAAUUCUACCAGACAUAUGCAAAGUUCCAUGGAGGUGAGAUGAGGUGCUACAAGGCACGAAGAAACAAGAAGGGCAAAGGUGAUGCGCCUGUCGUUCCGGAACGAAAGAGAGGUAUCAUUGUCAAGACGGAAUGCCCUGUCCGGUGUAAGCUGAACGUAGAUGGAGCACAGUGGGUGGUCACUGAAUAUUUUGACGAGCACAACCACGAGCUAAUAAAGAAGUUUGACCUGGUAAAAUUUCUGACCGCCCACAGAGGAUUCACCCCCCUCGAGAAGAAAUUCAUAAAGCUGCUACAUGAUUGUAACGUCGGUCCAUCAAGAAUGGUGCAGAUACUCUCCCUCAUCCACAGCAAAAACGGGUCUCUGAGUAGCAUGCCCUACCUACCAGUAGACGUCACAAACCUAAAGGCAAAAUUCCAGGAAGAAAUAAAGCGUGCCAGCAUGUACACGGCUUUCCAGGUGGACGAACAUACGUUCAAGGUGUGUUCUAUCAUGGGCAUGUCGGAUUCAGAACCUGAAGACCCAGACAAGGGAAGGAACUACUUUGUGAAGGCAUCGAUAAGCGAAGGCGAAUACUACUGCCAAUGCUGCAAAUUCGAAUGGGACGGGAUUGUGUGCUGUCACAUUCUAAAAGUAAUGGACUUGAACGCGGUGACACGAAUGCCCCGCCAUUUCAUUAGGCGGCGAUGGACUUGGGACGCUGACGACGCAUUGGCGCCACAAACAUCAAACGCAGUUUUGGCCGUGCAUGACGAGAGACCAGAGUCAACCAUGGAAGCCGUGAGGCACGUUGUGUUGACAAAGAACUAUGCUGAACUAAUUGAUGAAGCGUGCAAGAGUGAUGAGACAGCAAGGGUCGCAGAAAAACACAAGAAGGCCCUCAAAAGAGAGCUUGAUGAGAUCAAGAAGAGGAAAGCUGAGGAAGCCUUACACAGGUUCCCCCGCACAUCAAGUGUGCCUUCGUCCACAGGGCCAUCAUCUGAAAACUCGGAGGUAGGAUCUGGAACAGCAAGCACACAAACACAGGUUAGGAACCCGCCCCGUUCCAUCACAAAAGGGCGUCCAAAAGAGAUACGAUACAAAUUGGGAUUGGAGAUUCAAGCAAAACAUAAGAAACCAAAGAAAGGGACGGGCAAUCCGUAA